AUUGCCCUAGUAACGGCGAGUGAAGCGGCAACAGCUCAAAUUUGAAAUCUGGCCCCCGGGUCCGAGUUGUAAUUUGUAGAGGAUGCUUUUGGUGCGGUACCUUCCGAGUUCCCUGGAACGGGACGCCAUAGAGGGUGAGAGCCCCGUCUGGUUGGACGCCAAUCCUUUGUAAAGCUCCUUCAACGAGUCGAGUAGUUUGGGAAUGCUGCUCUAAAUGGGAGGUAUAUGUCUUCUAAAGCUAAAUAUUGGCCAGAGACCGAUAGCGCACAAGUAGAGUGAUCGAAAGAUGAAAAGCACUUUGAAAAGAGAGUUAAAAAGUACGUGAAAUUGUUGAAAGGGAAGCGCUCAUGACCAGACUUGGGCUUGGUUGAUCAUCCAGGGUUCUCCCUGGUGCACUCUUCCGGCCCAGGCCAGCAUCAGUUCGCUGUGGGGGAUAAAGGCUUCGGGAAUGUGGCUCCCUCGGGAGUGUUAUAGCCCGUUGUGUAAUACCCUGUGGUGGACUGAGGUUCGCGCAUUCGCAAGGAUGCUGGCGUAAUGGUCAUCAGCGACCCGUCUUGAAACACGGACCAAGGAGUCGUCUUCGUAUGCGAGUGUUCGGGUGUCAAACCCCUACGCGUAAUGAAAGUGAACGCAGGUGAGAGCUUCGGCGCAUCAUCGACCGAUCCUGAUGUUCUCGGAUGGAUUUGAGUAAGAGCAUACGGGGCCGGACCCGAAAGAAGGUGAACUAUGCCUGUAUAGGGUGAAGCCAGAGGAAACUCUGGUGGAGGCUCGCAGCGGUUCUGACGUGCAAAUCGAUCGUCAAAUAUGGGCAUGGGGGCGAAAGACUAAU
rnacentral:rRNA from 1 species